rnacentral:rRNA from 1 species
GAACGUUACCAAACUGUUGCCUCGGCGGGAUCUCUGCCCCGGGUGCGUCGCACCCCGGACCAAGGCGCCCGCCGGAGGACCAACCAAAACUCUUAUUGUAUACCCCCUCGCGGGUUUUUUUAUAAUCUGAGCCUUCUCGGCGCCUCUCGUAGGCGUUUCGAAAAUGAAUCAAAACUUUCAACAACGGAUCUCUUGGUUCUGGCAUCGAUGAAGAACGCAGCGAAAUGCGAUAAGUAAUGUGAAUUGCAGAAUUCAGUGAAUCAUCGAAUCUUUGAACGCACAUUGCGCCCGCCAGUAUUCUGGCGGGCAUGCCUGUCCGAGCGUCAUUUCAACCCUCGAACCCCUCCGGGGGGUCGGCGUUGGGGAUCGGCCCUGCCUUGGCGGUGGCCGUCUCCGAAAUACAGUGGCGGUCUCGCCGCAGCCUCUCCUGCGCAGUAGUUUGCACACUCGCAUCGGGAGCGCGGCGCGUCCACAGCCGUUAAACACCCAACUUCUGAAAUGUUGACCUCGGAUCAGGUAGGAAUACCCGCUGAACUUAAGCUUAAAGACGGAAAAAAAACUCCCAAACCCAAUGUGAACGUUACCAAACUGUUGCCUCGGC